CCUACGGGUCGCAGCAGUGGGAAUAUUGCACAAUGGGCGCAAGCCUGAUGCAGCCAUGCCGCGUGUGUGAAGAAGGCCUUCGGGUUGUAAAGCACUUUCAGCGGGGAGGAAGGCGUUAAGGUUAAUAACCUUAGCGAUUGACGUUACCCGCAGAAGAAGCACCGGCUAACUCCGUGCCAGCAGCCGCGGUAAUACGGAGGGUGCAAGCGGUAAUCGGAAUUACUGGGCGUAAAGCGCACGCAGGCGGUCUGUCAAGUCGGAUGUGAAAUCCCCGGGCUCAACCUGGGAACUGCAUUCGAAACUGGCAGGCUAGAGUCUUGUAGAGGGGGGUAGAAUUCCAGGUGUAGCGGUGAAAUGCGUAGAGAUUUGGAGGAAUACCGGUGGCGAAGGCGGCCCCCUGGACAAAGACUGACGCUCAGGUGCGAAAGCGUGGGGAGCAAACAGGAUUAGAUACCCGGGUAGUC
rnacentral:rRNA from 1 species